CACUAGAUCCUUCCAGCGAAUGUCUUUCUUUAUAAACCCAAGAUCAGUAAAACAUUGUUUCAAUCGCGCAGUGUGUUAAAACAUGAUUCUAAAAGCAGCGAUUACACGAAAUGAAUUGCAAUAUUAAAUAUGAAGGUGCACUUGGCUCAAUGCAUCACAUGUGGUAGGUACUCAGUUGAGUGGCAGAUUUUUUUCUUCAUUUCUUCAUCUCCUCUACUUUUUAUUCACAUUGAAUUGCAGACCGGUUGGAAUACUGUAAAAGCAUUUUCCCUGGGGAGCUCUGGACAUUUCAUAGGUAUGCUCAUUUGUGUUUGCAUGGUGUAUACAUAUGUGGGUUCCUGAGUUUGUGGAGGGGGUACAAUGCAUCUGCAGUUAUAUGUGUGCAUAUAUAAAGAAUGCCUCAGUGUUUUUUUAAAAUAUCAAUCAUAUGUAUUCCAAAUGCGUAGUUCACGACCAUGUAGGAGGGGAAAGGGCUUAAAGUCUUUUCCGGGUGAAAACAGCCUGGGAGUUGAGUUUCAUGCUUUUAUGAG
rnacentral:lncRNA from 1 species